UGCCGGUAGAGGCGAAAAACUCCGGCCCUUCCGCCCAGCUAGUAGAGGCGUCUUGAAGAAACAGGAGCGUUUUCUCCGCCGCAGCCCUGUGGUGGAGGGAGCACCCUGAUCCCUUUGCUGCAGACGCGGAAACUGAGGCUCAGAGAGGGUCCGACAUCUUACAGCUGGUGCGGGGCAGAGCAAGACGCCAACCUAUGCCUGUUGGAUUCCAAAGUUUAUACUUUAAUCGUUCGUCUAGCAGAUUCUUACAACCAUCCUGGGAGGUUACCUAUUUCAAUCAGAUACCUGUUGGCUCAAAUUUACUUUAGUGCAAGGAAAAACUUCAAACUGCAAGAGGAGUCCCUCCAAAUAUAGAAAGGACCAGUAUUUUAAGAGGUAUGUUAACCAAAAUGUGGCAAUGUAAGGAGCAGAGCAGGAAGAGCCUUUAAGUUCACAACGUACAACAAGUCAAUUUCAUAGUUUCCCUGGUCCUUCCACAACAGCCUCUGGCAUCUGUUUUCUCUACAAUGGCGGUAACAAUAGUAGCUAUUUCAGAGCAGGAAAAGGCUUACAGCAGUGCUAGAAGAGGGUUGUGGCUAUGUAAAGUUUAGCUAUUUGUAUAUUGUAACAAACCUACAAUUUUAUUUAUUUUUUGUCAAUAAUAGAUUUUUUUUGCAAAAGUAGCUGCCUCCUGUUGGGGACACCCGCAGUUCCACUAAGUGAGCAUUGGUAUCUGCUAACCUUUGCCUCUAUUUCUCUCAGUAAUAUACUGUCAAGCUGUUCCUUGAUUUAGCAAUUUUAUAUACUUCCUUUUUCAUUCCCCCCUCCUUUCCCUGAGACACAGUCCCGCUUUGUGGCCCAGUCUGGCCUGCAGCAGCGCCAUCAUGGCUCACCGCCACCUCCACCCCGGGCUCAAGCAAUCCUCCUACAUCAGCCUUCACAGGAGCUGGGACUACCUGCGGGGCCCAAGAGGCCCUGCUAAUCUUUGUGGCUUUUGUUUUGUUUUUCCAUUAAGAGACCGGGUUUCGGGCCAGGCGCAGUGACUCAGGCCUGUAAGCCCAGCAACCCGGGAGGCCGCCGCGGAUCACCCGAGGGGAGGAGCUGUAUACCAGCCGGACCAACAUGGAGAAACCCCGUCUCUACCAAAAAAAUAAACUCCCAGUACGUUGGGAGGCCGAGGCGGGUGGAUCCCGAGGUCUGGAGAUUGAGACCAUCCUGGC